CCUACGGGAGGCAGCAGUGGGGAAUAUUGCACAAUGGGGGAAACCCUGAUGCAGCGACGCCGCGUGAGUGAAGAAGUAUUUCGGUAUGUAAAGCUCUAUCAACAGGGAAGAAAAUGACGGUACCUGAUUCAGAAGCCCCGGCUAACUACGUGCCAGCAGCCGCGGUAAUACGUAGGGGGCAAGCGUUAUCCGGAUUUACUGGGUGUAAAGGGAGCGUAGACGGCAGCACAAGUCUGGAGUGAAAGGCCGGGGCUUAACCCCGGAACUGUUUUGGAAACUGUGCAGCUAGAGUGCAGGAGAGGUAAGUGGAAUUCCUGGUGUAGCGGUGAAAUGCGUAGAUAUUAGGAGGAACACCAGUGGCGAAGGCGGCUUACUGGACUGUAACUGACGUUGAGGCUCGAAAGCGUGGGGAGCAAACAGGAUUAGAUACCCCAGUAGUC
rnacentral:rRNA from 1 species